GGGUGCGAUCAUACCAGCACUAAUGCACCGGAUCCCAUCAGAACUCCGCAGUUAAGCGUGCAUGGGCGAGAGUAGUACUAGGAUGGGUGACCCUUCCGUGGAAGUCCUCGUGUUGCACCCC
rnacentral:rRNA from 1 species